rnacentral:rRNA from 1 species
UGGGGAAUUUUGGGCAAUGGGGGAAACCCUGACCCAGCGACGCCGCGUGGAGGAUGAAGGCCUUCGGGUUGUAAACUCCUGUCAGGUGGGAAGAAGAGCCUCGUGGUUAAUAUCCACGAGGAAUUGACGGUACCACCAAAGGAAGCCCCGGCUAACUCCGUGCCAGCAGCCGCGGUAAUACGGAGGGGGCAAGCGUUAUUCGGAUUUACUGGGCGUAAAGCGCACGUAGGCGGCAAUAUAAGUCACAGGUGAAAGCCCUCGGCUCAACCGAGGAACUGCCUGCGAAACUGCAUUGCUUGAGUCCGGGAGGGGGGAGCGGAAUUCCAAGUGUAGCGGUGAAAUGCGUAGAUACUUGGAGGAACACCGGUGGCGAAGGCGGCUCCCUGGACCGGUACUGACGCUGAGGUGCGAAAGCGUGGGUAGCAAACAGGAUUAGAUACCCUGGUAGUCCACGCCGUAAACGAUGGGCACUAGGUGCAGCGGGUGUCGACCCCUGCUGUGCCGGAGUUAACGCAUUAAGUGCCCCGCCUGGGGAGUACGACCGCAAGGUUA